AGGUCUUCUUUUCAUCCCACAGUCUCCUAGAUUGUUGUGAGUCAUGAUUUCCAUUGCAAAAAUUGGUAAAAGGAAAGAGUGUGAAGCCUCUCUUCAGCACCUAACGGGGGGAGAGUGCCGAUACUUCAAGAAAUCGCUGAGGUUAUACAGAAACUCUGCAGCGGCUUUCUGAAGUGAGAUUUUUCACUUAUUUCAAAGGAGAUACGUUCCCUCGUUGUAGGAGUAGGGCUUAUGGCACUGCAACAAUUCGGAGGGGUCAAGGGCAUUGUCUUCUAUGCAAGUACUAUAUUCAUUUCAGCUGGUACGUGAAUAGGCCUUCUUUUUGAACUUCUUUCGUGUAUCUAAUAAUUUCCAAAAGAAAGCAAAUAAUAAUAUAAAUAAAUCUGUUUUUAUGAUAGUAUCAGGACUAUAUCUAUGGUUGCAGUUCAGAUUCCAAUGAGUCAAUGACGGCAUUCGGAGUAAUUUUGAUGGACAAAUCUGGACGGAGUCCUCUUCUUCUGGUGCCCUCUGGAGCCCAAAUCUACCCCUCUUUCAAUUUCUUAUUGUGAUUUUUAGUUGUCUCUUGAGAGAAUGAAGUAUAUCAUGUGUAGAACCUUCAACAAUGGAAGCAGAUUACUCCCAUUUUGGCACUUGUAGGCGUUUUGGUAUUGACCGGAUCGUUCUCAUUGGGAAUGGGAGGACUUCCUUGGGUUAUAGUGUCAGA
rnacentral:sRNA from 1 species